UCACAUAACAUGUAAUACCCAUGUCACCAAAGUUUGCCACAAAGCAAAGAAAUCAUGCUUUUGGCCUAAACAAACUGAAUUUAAUAUUCAUAUAUAUAGACCAACCUCAUUUAACAGCUUUUGUUUUUGAUCUGUUUCACUACACCUUUUCCGCUUUCUCUUGUUUGUAAUGUGAAGUAUUUAUGCAUAGAUUCGGACAGAGUUAGUGGUAUACUAAUAUUCACCAACUUUCUGAUUAGGAGUCAAGGACUUGGAAGAAGCAAAAAUUGAGUAUAUAUGGGGUGCCUUGUAUCAACACCAAAUGACUCUGGUGGAAAAAACCCAAAAAAUGUUGGGGAGAUUAUGGUGUUUGUUCCUGGACUAAGGAUUCCUAAACCAGUUGACUUUGUGCUGCCACUUGAUGAUGGGUUAUCCAAGAAUUUGGUUGAACGUUUAUCUGCUCUGAGAACACGUAUUGUUGUCAUGGCAGGGCAAGAAGCACCUAGAUCUGCAAAAUCAAGAAGAACAGCCACACAACAUGGAGGUUCAACAUUAGCUGAUCUUCAGCAGGCUCUUGAAGAUUACCUGCCAGUGCAGUUGGGACUAGUUUACAAUGGUAACAAGCUACAGCAUAAGUUGCAAUUCAGUUGGGUAAAUCAGGAGGAUGAUGCAGAGGAAACAACCAUGUCUAAUUCUUGGUAUGAGGUACUUUCAGUUUUGCACUUGAUGGCCAUGCUAACAUUAUCACAGGCCAACUUCUUGCUCCUUUCUAAAGCAUCCACUGAUGGUUAUCAGUCUAAAGUAUCUGAAGAGUGCAGUCGAAAAUCUAUUGAUUUGCUUUUGAAGGCAGCUGGAUAUUUAGAUUUUGCUGUCAAACAUGCUCUCCCUCAGUUCCCACCUGAAGACAGGAAAGAUCUACCAUUAGACCUGGCAGAAGAAGUGCUAGAAGCCCUUUGCUUGCAAGCUCUAGGCCAGGUAGUUGAAAUUCAACUUGGAAUGGCUAUUGAUAGUAUACAAGCCACAAUGGCAGUGAAACGGAGACUUGCAUGUGAGAUGGUAAAAUACUGGCAUCAGGCACAAGAAAACAUAGUAAACCUUCCACUGGCAAAUCGAUGGGGGGAAAAGCAUAAGCUUUUUGUUAAGUGGAAACAUAAUGAGGCCAAGGCUGCUGCAUACUAUUAUCAUGGUUUGAUCCUUGACGAGGGGAAAACAGAAAGAUUUCAUAUGAUGGCAGUAGCAGCUCUGCAAGCAGCAGAUCAGUUUCUCAAGGAGAGUAAGAAAGCCUGUGAAUCCUUCAAUAUCACACCUCCUUUAUCACGGUAGUUGACUGAUCUCUCUCUCUCACUGACACAUACCAUGUAAGUGUAAAUGCAUGCAUCUCACAUAGUCAAAAGGUGUACAUGUUCAGGAUAUAAAGCAGUUAUUUCAUCUAACAAAAUGAGGCACAUUACCUUGAAAGGAAAUGGCAGCAUUAGCUUAGCCUUUCCUUUCUGAUAAAGGCAAAUACUGAUGAUCAACUUAAAGAAAUCAGAUGAAUUUGCACGUACAAAACAUACCAAAUGAUAUAACAGGCUUCAAUGGGUUUCUGAAGAAGACAAGAACUGUUAUUGACUCAACAACAAAAAAUCAGAAACUCAUGAUCUCUAAACACCUUAAAAUUGAUAGAUAACCACUCCAUGAAUCUAUCAUGUCUAGAAAGCAAAUCUAGUAAUCAAAUAUGGAAUAUCAUGCUCAUGAACUUAAAAGAAUUUCUAGCAGAAAACUCUCAAAGCAAUCCUAGUUCCAGAAUCAACUUUGAAGAUCUUGCACAGAUAUCAGAAAAUCACCAAAAGUAUUCUCUUCAACUAAUAUGGUUGAGUUUGACCUUUUGCCUUCAUCCAUACAUCAUUCUGUCAUCACAUAGAUUUUGGUUGGUCUAUGACAAGCUCUUUGCUCUAAGGUUCUCAAAUUAUACCAGUGGAGGUGCUUCAAAUUUUUUUUUUAAGGGCACUUCAGUGUUCUCUAAGGGCAAAUUAUGACCUGAUCUUUAUGAAGAACAUGUUUGAACCUCAAAAGCUGAAGCACCAUAAGCACGUAUCAUUUCCAGGCGGGUUUUUUCAUUCUCAAAGGGGCAAGCAUUAUUUCCCAGGAGCUUAUUUAGAAUCACAAGAUCACAACAGCGUUUCUUGGGCAUCAAUCACAGACAAACAAAGCCUUUUGGAACACCUUCCUAUUGGUAAAAUUUUGCAAACUGCAGGAAAAAAAGAAGUGCAGAUGAAACAUAAGAAGCUCAAAUAUUUCAUAUGGACACCCAACUCAGCAAACACUUGACCUCAAAAUCACAUCAUAAUAGAUCUAAAGAACUCUAAAGAACCAUUGGAGGAAUUGCAAGAUAUGGCAAAGAGCUUGACUAGAAUCAUAUUGCCGCCACUGGAGGUUGGAAUGAACAAAACUUG